AGUGAACGCUGGCGGUAGGCCUAACACAUGCAAGUCGAACGGCAGCACAGUAAGAGCUUGCUCUUACGGGUGGCGAGUGGCGGACGGGUGAGGAAUACAUCGGAAUCUACUUUUUCGUGAGGGAUAACGUAGGGAAACUUACGCUAAUACCGCAUACGACCUACGGGUGAAAGCAGGGGACCUUCGGACCUUGCGCGAUUGAAUGAGCCGAUGUCGGAUUAGCUAGUUGGCGGGGUAAAGGCCCACCAAGGCGACGAUCCGUAGCUGGUCUGAGAGGAUGAUCAGCCACACUGGAACUGAGACACGGUCCAGACUCCUACGGGAGGCAGCAGUGGGGAAUAUUGGACAAUGGGCGCAAGCCUGAUCCAGCCAUACCGCGUGGGUGAAGAAGGCCUUCGGGUUGUAAAGCCCUUUUGUUGGGAAAGAAAAGCAGCAGGUUAAUACCCCGCUGUUCUGACGGUACCCAAAGAAUAAGCACCGGCUAACUUCGUG
rnacentral:rRNA from 1 species